GAGUAAUUAAUUCAAUAAGGUAGAAUAUUUCAUUUACAUUGAAAAGGUUAUCGGUUCGAGUCCGUAUAUUACUUA
rnacentral:tRNA from 1 species